UACGGGGGGGGCAAGCGUUGUUCGGAAUUACUGGGCGUAAAGGGCUCGUAGGCGGCCAACUAAGUCGGACGUGAAAUCCCCAGGCUCAACCUGGGAACUGCGUCCGAUACUGGAUGGCUUGAAUCCGGGAGAGGGAUGCAGAAUUCCAGGUGUAGCGGUGAAAUGCGCAGAUAUCAGGAAGAACACCCGUGGCUAAGGCGGUUCUCUAGCACGGUACUGACGCUGAGACGCGAAAGCGUGGGGAGCGAACAGG
rnacentral:rRNA from 1 species